UCCCAUUCAGUCAGUAUCUCCACCUCAACGGGACGGGACUGUUCAAAGUUUCUAGUAAAUAAAAAAUCAACAAAAUUCUUUGUAUUUUGUAACAAAAUUUUGAGAGCUAAAUUCAAAGUGCAUCAAAAUGGCAGAUCCAGAUGCUCGGGAUGCCGAAACCGUACCGCCACCCAUUGGCGGGGAAAACAAUCUUAGCAUGAACAAUGAGCGUUUGGAUUGCGAGAAUCUUGAUGAAAUGACAGCGAUUGAUCAAUCCCGAUAGGCCGGCAUUUCCAUCAGUGCUCCUUCGCUUCUAUGGGAAUAUAUUUGUUGAUUUCUUUAGGUCCAUAUUCGCCUAAAGGAACAAAUUCGUGAAGAAAUCCUGGAUAAUGCUGUGAAAAAAAAAACUUUGGCAGAUAUAUUUUCCAUGCUUAUAAAGCUCUUUAUAUUUAAA